AAUACGUUCCCGGGCCUUGUACACACCGCCCGUCAAACAAUGGAAGUCAGGAGAACCUAAAGUCGAUAACCGCAAGGAGUCGCCUAAGGUUAAUCUGAUAACUGGUGUU
rnacentral:rRNA from 1 species